GGCCCCUUUAAUGAAAACAUCUAAAUAGUUUUAGUUGAAAGAUUGGAAAAUAUACAUGAUGAAUACGCCAAUGUAUAGCUUAAUGUGUUUUCUUGGACAUAACAACAACAACUUCAUUAAAAUCGACUCUGCUAACAGCUAACACUUAUAUCCGACGAAGUAAAAGGUCAGUCCUCAGACCUUCAAAAACUGUCAGAUUCUAUAAAAACUAUUCUGGAAGACAUGAAGAAACUCCAAGACAAUCAAGAGGCGAGCAUUCAAUAUGUUCAAAGUUCAUAUGAUGAGCAGUUACAAACAAUAAAGACAACUCGCCAAAAUAAAUAUAAAUUCAGCCUUAGACACAAUUGAACAGAAUACACUGAAGAAAAUGAAAGAUACUCUGACCAAACUUCAGGCCCUUGCCAAAAGUGAUGUUGACAAAUGUAUCGGGCUUCGGGAUGAAUUGAAACAACUUUGAGACGCGAUACAGGACAUAAGUGAUAAAAUCAAACUGGAACUAUCCUGUAUAGCCACCAGCAAAUGCAAGGAUAAAAUUCAGCAGUCUGAAACCUUUCUGAAGGAGAAUUAUCUUCAGGCUAAAGUUUCUAUAACAUUUCAGCCCAACAGUGAAAUUAUACAGUACUUGUCCAAAUUGUCGGGUUUCGGACGAUUGAACAGACAUUGAUGGGGCAAGAGGAUCCAAACAAGGUGUUCACUGUACAGGGAAAGUCUGUACAACAUGUGAAAAUAUCAAGUGAUUCAACGGAAUGCAGUAUUGCAGCCAUCUGUGUUCUCCCAGACAGACAGGUCCUGGUUGCAGACAACAAUACUGAGAAUGUCAAGCUGCUUGACCAGCAGAACCAGGUGAGCAGUCACUGGAGUGUUACUGGCAGGCCAGUUGGUAUGUUAGAAAUUACACCCAGUGAGGUGGCUGUGACUGUGAAUGAUGCUCCUAAAAUACAUGAGGUCCAGUUUAUCACAGUCAAGAACAUGCAGCUGGUGAUAGGAAGGAAGCUUCAGUUACAACAUACAUGUACUGGUAUUGUCUACCGCCAGUGAGACCUGUAUAUCAAUGCAGAUACUGCACUGUACAAGUAAAUACUGAGUGAAAAACAAGUCAGCAAGAUGUACGAGAAUAAAUCAUACACAUUUACAGUACAUAUGGUUGCUGUGAGUCCCACAGGGGAAAGGCUGUACAUCACUAAUCUCUCCAUUAACAAGCUUCUCACCCUGGCCAAGGAUGGUUCAGUCCUGGCCAGUUUUGCUGACCCUUCACUAAAAGCCCUACAUGGUGUACACGUGACACCUGCAGGCUAAGUGCUGGUAAGUGGAGGCAUAUACCCCAAAUUCUACAUCACACAGUUGGACAGUGAGGGGAGAAGAAAACUGGCCACUCUUGCUACCCUUAAGGAUGGGAUUGCUGACCUUUGGUCAGUCUGCUACAACAGACACACCGCCUGCAUUUUCAUCUGACUUUCGGAAAAAAACAGUAUCCUGGUGUUCAAAGUACAAUAGUGUUUGUUUAACAUGCAUCUUGUUUUAUUAUUAAGAUUAUAUAAAUGGUCAUGAGAAUAUGUUGUUGUAAAAUUAGAACACUUUGAUAUGAUAGUAAACUAAUGAUAGUUUUACUAAAGAGUGUAUGUGAACAUUAGAAGUGCUAUAAAUGUAUUAAAUUGUUCUAUGACAAUUUCUAUUUCACUUAACACGUUAAAAUGAUGUUUGUGCAGGGAAUAAUUUAUGUUAUUUACCUGACAUCCAAAUCAAACUCGAUACUGUAUAUUGUCUGUCAUUUCCUUUGCGUACAUAUAUAUAUAUAUACAUGUAUGUAUUCAUUGCCUGAUGGAUUGAUGACAAUAAUUCAAAACCAACGAUCUUGCCAAGGCAGUUCAAUUUUAUUUCUGUAAAGCGAGACAGAAAAUACGGUUUGCGUAAAGCUUGAAUACUCAUAAUAGGGGAGUGAUUUCGAUCAUAUUAGGUCGGCUAUUCAUGUACAAAACGGAAUCCUCCAGACUAUUAUUAACCUGUGACCUAUGCACGUUUUGGGUAACGUGAGCGCCGGUUUCACAUGUUGUCCGCUUCCGCGCAUUUCAAAACAAAGAAGAACUACUAAAUAGCACAAUCAGUGUGGUUGUGUUUGGAUCUGGAUCGAUAAAUGUUAAUACUGUGUACGUUUAAAGAUAUAUUUUAAUUUUUUCCCUGUGCACUAGCAAGUUAUCAACAUUUAUAAUAUAUACGAUAUCGGUACAAAACAAACGUGGCUUCGUAAGUGAAAAAUGCAUUACAACUGGAAAAACACGACACACUAUACACGUGCAAGUCAAUGACAUGUAUAAAUAAAGAGUGAGCUGCGCCCAUGAAUUAAACGUUAAAGUGCAUUUUAUAUUGACAGGGUAAAAUAAAUCAUAGCAGACGAUAUUUAAAGUUGAAAUUUAAACUACGCAAAAACAAGCGGUCGAUAGUAAAGUUAACAUGGGGCGGGUUAUACGAGUAUUGAAAAUGUGGUCAUAAAACAGACGGAGUGCAUUUACGAAUUAAAGCGGCACUAUGGGAAAACAUAAUGUAAACAUGAUUUAAACGAAAUGUGCAGGUGUAAGACAGCGUGAGCUUAGGCUGGUAAUGACAUUAUUAUUCAUCCUUCAGGCAAAUGGCGUUGUAAACAAUGAUGCAAUGGUCACGUGGUUAUAGCGUUUUCGAAGACUGGGCCCGUUUGCGAACACGGCAGCAACUCCAAUGGCGGCUUAUCUAUGGAAUGUAUUUAAUAUAGAGUUAAAUAAUUGCAACUCGCAGGCAUUUCAAAAAACACGCAAUUAGCUUUUAACGGCGAUAUGUUCAUUUAAUAAAUUCAGGGAGUUGUAUAUGUUAGCAGAAGUAUGGCCAGCUCUCGGGGUCGUCAUUUUAUCAUAGGAUUAACGUAUGGUACUGCAUUUCGAACAUAUUUUUGUAAUGCUCCAGGGCGAUCUAGCAAAGGCCUGUCGUAGAUAAAAGAGCCCCAUAUAUCGAUUUUUUAUGUUAUGUUCGAUUCUGCCUAUGGUCGCUCAAUAUAAGCUUGAAUCUGUAUUGUCAAGAAUAUCUCUUACGUUGGAAUUUAUUAUCGUUUAUUCAGAAUCAGCGAAUAAAAAUAUAUUAAAUAUAUUAAAAUGGCAUUUCCGGCGAGGAUAAUAGUAUGGGAAAACACCAGGUUUUUCAGAAAUGAUGACGUUCACUUAUCUGACGUCGGACUCAAAAUAUAUAUUUAGAUUCGUUGCGCAAGUGUUUAUUAAAACUAGUUUUAAACAUGCCAUAGAAUUUGUAUUUGUAGCGGAAAUUCUAUGUCUUGGAGGUGAUCGGAACCAUUAAAAUUAUACAUUGGUAACUAUAUAUUGAUGUACAUACGUCCGGGGUAGGUAAACAUAGCAUUUUGUUGUCACCUAUCACGUAGUGCUCGUAUGUGUGAGGACCCACCCACCCAAAGAGAUUGUUGUUAAUAUGUUAAACCUUUUUGUGAUGUUCAAAUGUACUGCCGAGAUAUUUAUAACAGAAUGGCUGCCAAUCUGACGCGGGCGACCACGGAACACGUUCGGGUUACAUUCACCAACUGUACACCACUCAUCGUUAUGACGUCGGUUUAAAUGUCGGGCGUCAAAUCGUGGAUAGCGGCGGCGCCAUGGCAUGGAUACAUCGCUAUAGUCCAGAGCUAGGUCAAUAUCCAGGAUGUUGCUGAGACGCGACCUCAUUGAAUGGAAAUUAUGGGUAACAAAGAGUCACCCAAUGUGUUUGAGUGUUUCUGCUACUUAACCUGUCGUGUAAAAGUGCUGUGACGUGUGCCUUCUUGCAGCGACAUGAAUGUGUAUUAAUAGAAGGUUGUUGAUCUGUCGCGGGCGACCACGGAAAACGUUCGGGUUACAUUCACAAACUGUACACGACUCGUCGGUAAGACGUCUGUUGAAUCGUCGGGCCUGAAACCGUGGAUAGCGACCUUUGCAUGGAUAUAUCGCUAUCGUCCAGAACUAGUAAAAUAUCCAGUAUGUCGCUGAGACGCGACAUCAGUGAAUUGAACUUUCAGUUCUGAGCGUUACGGAGUUUAGCACAGAACGUGGGUCUAAAAAUAACGCAUUGUACACCGCAGGUAAAUGUUCGGUUCGUUUAUGCGUAUGAUUGUCACGUGAGUGAUGGACACUCAGGCGGACAUAGGAGGGAAUGUGCACGGGGUUUUCAUUGUUUGGUCAGUCCUACGCUAUACUUCGACCAGUAAACUUUUACUUCUUUAAAUUCGAAUCGCAUUAAAAAGUUGGCUAAAAUGACCCGUUAUGUUUGUUGAGUUACAUAAUGUCCACAGUUACAUGUUAAUAUUGGUUGUUUUCGGGUAUAGUUUUCCAGAGUUAUUUUACAUUUGGCAUCUGAUAAUUUCUGAUGAAGUUUUAUCUCUGGUUUUUACUCUGGCCUUGAAAUCACCAUUAAGGGAUAAAUAAUAGAAGUGAGGUAUACACAUCAUAGUUGUACUGUGUUACAUAAUUCAUAAAUCAAAGUUGUAAUGUCAUUUUAUUUUACGAUUUUACUUGAUUGUUAUAUAUUAGACAUUAUGGGAAACAAAGUGUCACCCAAUAUGUUUGAGUGUUUCUGCUACUGAAAUGUGCCAUAUAAAAGUGCUGUGAAGUGUGCCUUAUUGAAAUGAAAUGAAUGCGUAUAAUAAGGUAAUUUUAUUGCUGCAUACUUGUGUGAGAUAUAGUUUUUAUCACGACAGUAAAUUAUUGAGAUCUAUGACAAUCUGACACAAUAACAUAUGUCAGUAUUAACUCAUGUUAUAUGUUUGGUACGUCAUUUAAAAAUGUCAUUUAGGCCGAAAUUCUAUGUCUUGGAGGUGAUCGGAACCAUUAAAAUUAUAAAUAGGUAACUAUAUAUUGAUGUACAUAUGUUCGGGGGAGGUAAACAUAGCAUUGUGUUGUCACCUAUCACGUAGUGCUCGUAUGUGUGAGGAUGGCAGGAAUGCUUUCAAAAUUAUUUUCGGGAUGGUAUGGGUGUUCUAGUACUCGCUCGAUGGCAUGGCGUGCUUAGGCGUACCUAAAUAGCUAUUUUUGGCUUGAAAACCUACGGUACGGCGUUCCGAGGAUUUAUUUUGUCGGUUGCGGAUGGCCUUAGCGAUUGCGAAUGUAUGCUAUGUUGCACGGUACGGCGUACCGAUAAUUUAUUUGGCCGGUUGCGGAUAGCGAUUGCGCAUGUAUGUUAUGUUGCACAGUACGGCGUACCGAGAAUUUAUUUUGCCGGUUGCGGAUGGCCUUAGCGAUUGCGCAUGUAUAAUAUCUAUUUUCGAACCAGCAACGUGUUCGUUGAAAUAGGAAUUGCAUUCAUUGGCGAAAUAGCAUAAAAUGGUGUGGGUUGUGUGAUGGCGAUUAUUGCAUAAACGAGAAGCUAAAUAAAUAGUGCAACUGGGGUUGGGCAAUCUUUAGGCUAUCUUUAGGGCAGUACUUCCGGUCGUCUCCUCGACAUGACUCGGUUAUAGUGCUAGUCUAUAGCUGAGGUUUAUUUACUCUAGUGCUAGUCUGGUGUAAAUUAUAUUCCGCCAUUGGCCAUUUAAUUCCAUUUAUAGAAUUUGGAUUGUUCCUCUCAUAUGUUUUCUAUUGUUCAAAUAUAGAAUAUGAAUGUGUUUACGUAAGGUAUCACAUUAAAACAUUAUAAUAAAUAUGAACUGACAAA